rnacentral:rRNA from 1 species
ACGCACGCUGGCGGCGUGCUUAACCCCUGCAAGUCGCACGGUGAAGCGCCUUCCUUUUUGGUGGGUGUGGAUGAGUGGCGAACGGGUGAGUAACACGUGAGUAACCUGCCCCCUUCUUCUGGAUAACCGCAUGAAAGUGUGGCUAAUACGGGAUAUUCUGGGUCUGUCGCAUGAUGGGUCUGGGAAAGAUAUUGUUUCGGUGGGGGAUGGGCUCGCGGCCUAUCAGCUUGUUGGUGGGGUGAUGGCCUACCAAGGCGGUGACGGGUAGCCGGCCUGAGAGGGUGGACGGUCACACUGGGAGUGAGACCCGGCCCAGACUCCUACGGGAGGCAGCAGUGGGGAAUAUGGCACAGUGGGCGCAAGCCUGAUGCAGCGACGCCGCGUGAGGGAUGGAGGCCUGCGGGUUGUGAACCUCUUUCGCCAGUGAAGCAGGCCUGCCUCGUUUGUGGGUGGGUUGACGGUAGCUGGAGAAGAAGCGCCGGCUAACUACGUG